rnacentral:tRNA from 1 species
GCGCGGGUGGCGGAACUGGCAGACGCGCACGUUUGAGGGGCGUGUGGGAGAAAUCCUGUAAGGGUUCGAGUCCCUUCCCGCGCA